CAGCGCCCCAAGUGGCAAUCACGAUUAUUGGGCCUAAAGCGUCCGUAGCCGGACAAGUAAAUCCGCUGUGAAAUCGUUGCGCUUAACGUAACGGCAUGCACUGGAGACUGCUUGUCUCGAGACCGGGAGGAGUUAGAGGUAUGCCCUGGGGACUGGUAAAAUGGGAUAAUCCAGGGUAGACCACCAAUGGCGAGGGCAUCUAGCUAGAACGGAUCUGACGGUGAGGGACGAAAGCCAGGGGAGCGAACCGGAUUAGAUACCCGAGUAGUCC
rnacentral:rRNA from 1 species